rnacentral:misc_RNA from 1 species
AAGGAGCAUCUAGAUUCCGCAAGGAAUCCAGAGCCACUACGUCGGCAAAUGUUCGACGGUGGUCAGCUCAUGGGUGGAACGUUGACUAUUCGGCACGACAGGUUGAUUACUGCUAGUACUGCUUCGGCGUGGAACGUGGUGAGAGAUCGGUUGUGUCGGGCACGUUGUUGGGUGUCUGAGGGUACGGCCGAGAGGCUGCCUUCUGAUCCGGUCCCAGUGAACUCGCCUGUUUGGGCGGGGUGAUGGGUGGCUGGUCGUUGUUUGAGAACUGCACAGUGGACGCGAGCAUCUG